rnacentral:lncRNA from 1 species
UAUAAAUUUCUACAAGUAGAGAUUAUCACACACAAGAUUAGAUGUAAUUAUAAAGAGUUUUUGAAGGGAAUGCUAAAGGCUGGUAAUUAAUACUUUGAACAGAUAAUGAUAAAAAUUCUCCCCUGGAAAAAAUCUCACUGCAAGUGUUGGCAUUCUUUGCAGAUGACUAGUCAAAAAUGGCCUGAAAAUACUAUUAUAACUAAAUGCUAACUUAAACUGAAUGUGUUUGAUAAUGUCCAUGUACCUUCUUUAAUUCUGUUUUCUAUUUUCCGAAACUCUUAAAAAUCUGAAGCUAUGCAUGUACACUUAGUUUAAUUCUCGUCUCCUUCUGAAAUAGAUAUGUUUAAUACAACCGAUAAUAACAUCUCCUAGUGUUCACAGUACUUGAAAAUGGCUCCUUGUACCUCAUAAAAUCAUGAGUGUCUCCUUUACCCUAUCCAUUUUAUUUCCUUAGUAAUAAUAACAGCAUUUUUAGCUUUUCCUAUCUGAGGUUUAUUAGAAUACUGGCAUAGUCAAGUAAGGAAGUUUUAAGAACAUUUCAUUUCAAGUAUCCUAAGGAAAUCAUUUCCUGACAAUUAAAAUCUAACCAGGAGCUCAUAAGUGCUGUUGUAAAAGAAAAUGACCCUUCUGACAGAAGAAAAGAUGGGUGUUUUUAGCCAUUCUGUUGAAAACCUGAAAUAAAUGAUAGACAUGAUUAGAACACUGGUUGGAAUUUUAUAGCUUUUGAUAUACUCAUUAUCU